rnacentral:rRNA from 1 species
CGGACGGGUGAGUAAUGUCUGGGAAACUAGCCUGAUGGAGGGGGAUAACUACUGGAAACGGUAGCUAAUACCGCAUAACGUCGCAAGACCAAAGAAGGGGGGACCGUUCGGGCCUCUUGCCAUCGGAUGUGCCCAGAUGGGAUUAGCUAGUAGGUGGGGUAACGGCUCACCUAGGCGACGAUCCCUAGCUGGUCUGAGAGGAUGACCAGCCACACUGGAACUGAGACACGGUCCAG